GUGCGGAACACGUGUGCACUGCUUUAUCUGGGGGAUAGCCUUUCGAAAGGAAGAUUAAUACCCCAUAAUAUGUUGAAUGGCAUCAUUCGACGUUGAAAACUCCGGUGGAUAGAGAUGGGCACGCGCAAGAUUAGAUAGUUGGUGAGGUAACGGCUCACCAAGUCUACGAUCUUUAGGGGGCCUGAGAGGGUGAUCCCCCACACUGGUACUGAGACACGGACCAGACUCCUACGGGAGGCAGCAGUGAGGAAUAUUGGACGAUGGGUGAGAGCCUGAUCCAGCCAUCCCGCGUGAAGGACGACUGCCCUAUGGGUUGUAAACUUCUUCUGUAUAGGGAUAAACCUACCCUCGUGAGGGUAGCUGAAGGUACUAUACGAAUAAGCACCGGCUAACUCCGUGCCAGCAGCCGCGGUAAUACGGAGGGUGCAAGCGUUAUCCGGAUUCAUGGGUUAACACGGGUCCGUAAGCGGGAUCUGUAAGUCAGCUGGUUGCACAAAUCUCAACAGGUUUAAAAACUUGGGUUGGCAAAAAAUUGGGCCCCCAUUUGGGAAUUAACCUUGGGCCAGAGGGUUCCCCCUGGGGAACCUUGGNCNUCAGGUU
rnacentral:rRNA from 1 species